rnacentral:rRNA from 1 species
CCUAACACAUGCAAGUCGAACGGCAGCACGGACUUCGGUCUGGUGGCGAGUGGCGAACGGGUGAGUAAUAUAUCGGAACGUAUCCAAUAAUAGGGGGAUAACUAAUCGAAAGGUUGGCUAAUACCGCAUACGCCCUAAGGGGGAAAGCAGGGGAUCUUCGGACCUUGCGUUAAUAGGAGCGGCCGAUAUCUGAUUAGCUAGUUGGUGGGGUAAAGGCCCACCAAGGCGACGAUCAGUAGCUGGUCUGAGAGGACGACCAGCCACACUGGAACUGAGACACGGUCCAGACUCCUACGGGAGGCAGCAGUGGGGAAUUUUGGACAAUGGGCGCAAGCCUGAUCCAGCCAUUCCGCGUGAGUGAAGAAGGCCUUCGGGUUGUAAGGCUCUUUCGCAAGGGAAGAAACGUUACGAGCGAAUAACUCGUGAUAAUGACGGUACCUUGAUAAGAAGCACCGGCUAACUACGUGCCAGCAGCCGCGGUAAUACGUAGGGUGCGAGCGUUAAUCGGAGUUACUGGGCGUAAAGCGUGCGCAGGCUGUUUUGUAAGUCAGAUGUGAAAUCCCUGAGCUCAACUUAGGAACUGCGUUUGAAACUACAAGACUAGAAUAU